GGGGGGGUCAUGAGACAUUGUGUGACGCCUUGGGCAGACUCCAUUUUGUCUUUUCCAAAUGCAACACGGUGACGCAUUGUGCGUAAACCUUACCCAGGGGCAACUUGGAGGUAUGACCGUAUCUGCCCCCCCCCCCCCUCGCUCUAUAUUGUGAUUUAGCUCGAGCCUCCCUGCUACAUUGCAGUUUAUUUAUUUAUUUGGGGGAAGGGGCCGGUGGGGUGCGUACAGUAUCGAAUUGUCUAUGCCAGAAAUCCCUGCAACUGUUUAUUUUUGAGUUCUGUGGAAUGUUCCAGUAGUUUUUUUUCUGGAGCUAGCAGAACAAGAAUUAAGUUAUUUUGAGUUUUGAAUAUAAAUGGUGUCUCCAUAGAAUGAAAGAUUUCUCUUGGGUAUUAAAAAAAAAAAAAAAGUUGGCAAUUUCAGGACCACGCCGCACGGUAGAGCGACAAUCGCGGCGUUGCUUUCAACACGCAAUCGAAAUAACUACGUUUAACGCCCCAGCGCUUUUUGUCUUUGAGGCUCCGAAGCGAUAUUGCCAGUAAUUACGGGGGCCGCCAAAUACAAUUGAAGUCAACGACGGAGCGCCGUGUAAUCCGCGGUCAAGUAUGUGAACAGAGUGAUUGCUUCUUUUGAUUUAGCCCAGUUUACCGAGAUGAUUACGAGCAGCCGGAGAUUCUCAAAAGCCGCGUUUUCUUCGCUUUGACACCCGCCAUCGGCCUUUCUCCUUGGAAUGCAGAGAUUAUUUGUCCUCUUCAAAAAAAUAAAAAAUAAUCAGAGAGUUGCUUUUGUCAUCGGAAAGAAUAAAGUUGCCUCUCACUCAAUGGCAUCCAAAGCUUUGCUUCUCAAGUGCCUGCCUUGUUCUUUGUCUGCGUUCGCUAACCGGGCUGUUGAUGACAGACUUGACGGUCGUGUAUUUCAAUUGCAUUCCACAGUUCAAGUGAGAGUUCACGCGCCGCCGUUUGGAUAUUUGCGUCAAGGGCGUUGCAAAGAGAAGAAAACUAAAGAAGCGGGGGAAAUUCUCGGAAUCUGAAAGGCCGUUCUCAAAAAUCCCGAUAUGAAAAAUGAACCUCGUUCCAAGGCAAUGUACAGUCAAUACAAUGUUGGGGGCCGAACGCGCUAGAUAAAUACCGUAUGAAUCAAAUAUGCCACUCCGGGAUGUGUACAAUUCUACUGAUACAACUAUGAGGGCAAUUCCAAGUGGCCAUAGUGAAUUCAAUCAACAGCUACCAUGGAUGAUGGAAACGUCUACACAGCUCUGUUCAAGUGCCAGGUUUUUGCGGUAUGAGAAAUUAGACCUUUUCAAAAAAAUUCCCGCCAUUUUUGUGACCGACAGACUGCAAAACGGAGUUGAAAACAAAAGAGAGGUCGGGGGACUAAAAAUAAACAACAGAUGAGCGUUUGGGGAUGUGACCGUGUUUAGGAUGCGACCAAUCAAAUGUAAAAUAGGAUUCGCCGCACACCUGCCACCAACUAAUGGACCCCAAAUAAAGUUCAGCUGCUUUUCCUGAUAGUUCCGUCGUCGCAUUUUAUAGCACUCGCAAUGUUACGCAAAGCGCUUUAGGAGGGAUCUCAUCCUCCCGGGUGAGUGUGCAAAAGAAUUUACAAGGCGUGAAAUGUAGCAAUAGCUAUAAUAUAGCAGCGAUAGCUCAACAACGUGGGUGUGCAUUCCAAAAUGGAUGAAAAGAUGUGAGAAGGUUCAGGGAGGCUGGCAAGAGGAUGCCAGCAACAUCGGAUGAGCUGCAGGGAUUUCUGGCAAGUACUGGCUGUUGAAGUAGCGGACAUGUCGCAGCAAUCUCCCAUUUUCUUCAUAUAGUCAGGCUAUAGGGUCACGUGGCUGCACUUGUGCAAAAAAAAAAAUUAAAACGCACUUGAAAUCUCCCAAAUCACAUGUGAAAGUGUAUUUUUGAUAAAACCAAGGUGAAAAGUUUUUAUCUGUAAUACCAUAGCGGCAAUGUUUGUUGACUCGGGUUUGGAUGUUCAAUUUAAUUCUGAACACUGCCACAUACCCAUUUAGAAGAUAAUGUGCGCAUUGUGUAACCUAAGUAUGUUUUCGUCUGGAGGGGUUUGUGCUAAAAUAUAAAUCGAGCUCAUUUCACAUAUAAUUAAAGUGGGAAUUGAUUCAUUAAAAUGUAAAAUCUUGUAUCAAAUUGCCCGUGAGUUAAUUAAAUUGUGCGACAUGAUGUGAAAUAUUCAUAUUUUAUGGAAGUGUUUCUUUCAUGCAACCAGCAUGAAAGCUGAAAGCACCACUUACAUCUUUUAAAAUGUUUUUUUUUUCAUGGCAAUUUCUCAAAAUGAUCAUCAGCAGCCAGCAUGGCCAAAAAACUUUGGCUGUUUAGUGUCGCCAUUUUGGUUGACAUUUAUGGAUUCCUCCUAAAAUUGCUGGCCCAGAACAAAAUGCUGGACUUCCUGUUCAAUUGAAUCCAUUCAUUUUUUUUUUUUUUUUACUUUUAGGGUUGAAGCUGCUUUUUUUCCCCAAACUUUCCAGGUAGCGUGACAAAGUACGUUUUGGUUCCGGAUAAUGUUCGACAGCUCAAUUUUUUUUGUCCGUUUUUUGAUCACCUCUGGAAAAUGGCAAUUCAUUUUGGCAAGAUGAUACGAUACCAAGCAGCGAUACCAAGUGGGCCUUUAUAUUGAUGGGUGCUCAGGCAUCAGAAUUGCAUUUCGCCGAACUGAGCAAGAAAAAUACUCGGAUGUACCACACGUUUACGAUCCAUAUUAUUUAUUGUCGACUAUUGUGAUCUCAUUUGACAAAUACUUUCCGCACCGGGAAUGUGGUUGAGGACUUUGACCCGCGGGCAAAAACAAAUUUCAUGAUCUGGAAUCUUUUCAUUGAAUUUGAUAAGACUCAAAGCGUGCAAGCCUUCACCUGAAAAGGUUUUUUUUGGGGGGGGGGAAAGGAGCAAAAUUCCGCUUUAGGCCUUCUUAAUUAGAAGUGGAUGGUUUCACUUUAUCAACAAGCAUGGCCGUGGUUUUCAAAGCGAUGGCACUUUGCGCAGCUCAUAAAGAGAGUCCCAUUCCCAGCGGAGCACUUUGAAGGUAUGCGCCGCGGAAAUAAUGACAUCCACUUAUUUAAUUUGCCCGUUUAAUUUCGUGCUCGUGCAGCAAUUAGUCUUCUUUUAUCCCGACUAUAUAUAUUGUUUGCGUGUGUCUCAAAGGCGAGCCGCCACGUGCACUCCUCGUCAAUGUCUUCUCGGGGGGGGAUCUAAUCUAGCUAGCUAGCUAGCUAGCUAUAAUAUAUAGAGGCAAAUAUUACCUACAGGUUUUUCCCGUUAAUAGCAGGGCUCAGUCCUCAUUCCCCUCAAAUAGUGGGCGUUACCGUUGUAACAUUCUUGUGACCAUUAAUUCAAUUUUUUUUGGGGGGGGGCGCACAGGAAGUCAUUAUUUUUCAAACGUUAUGAGCCGAUCGAAGCUCUUGGAACAGUAUUUAACUCUUGUCUUAUUAUUCUGACCUUACAGAAAUGUUACUGACAAUUUAAUUAUGCCCCUUCCACACCAACCAUAUGUGGGACGGACUCGUUUGAAUAUCGGCUCCGUCAACAAAAUGUAUUACUUUCAAUUGCAACAAAGUAGUCCGAUGAGUCUUUUAUGCAAGUCACCUGCCCAACACCGGUCAGGGUCCAAUAUGUAUGAGGCCACACCGUGAAAAAAAAAGCGUCGGAAACGAUUUCCACAUUUGCAACCAAGUAUGUCAGAAGGGCUUUGACAGAAAUACCAAAAGUGUGCGCGUGCAUAAUGAACACGGUGAAAGAAAGGUUACAAGCCGUCACUUGGACAGCGCCAAGUGCAAUUUGGAAAAGAAGUUGAUAAAUCGAACUGAAAGUGAUAGAUGCUUUAUUUCUUUGGCAAGAAUUCAAAGAUACAAGUGGAAGCGGUGGCCAUCUGGACUAACUUUUGAACCCCCUAAAGCGGUUUCACUGCUUUUUUUUUUUUUUUUUCCACCUUCCUUUGAGGAAAAAUGAGUUGCUGGACUUUAUAGUUAAUGCUUUCCCCGAGAAAAGCUCUCAAAGG